AUGCGGGCAAAGGGCGGCUCUGUUGUGGGAGGCGGCAGCGGACGAGACAAGGUGCGGCGGGGCGCCAUGGCACUGGCGGCGGCACCUGUGAGCAGAGGCGUGCGUAGGGCGGUAGAGCAGCAGCGGCAAAGGCGGACGCGGAGGAGAAGGAGGGCACGGGCAGGGAGGCCCUGGUGGGGUGGUCGACGGUGGCAAGAUGCGGCGAGCCAGCGUCCAGAGGAGGCUCGACGGAGGAGCGGCGGCCGCUUGAAGGUCGAGGUCGCCGACGGGGGCCGGGUGGUGCAGGAACGAAGCAGCAGGGCGGCACCGGUGCUGGAGCUUCAUCCUUCUCACUCCCCUGCUUGA
rnacentral:rRNA from 1 species